rnacentral:sRNA from 1 species
CCCUAGCCCCGAUUAAAGCGGCAUCCCACGCUUUUUUUUGCGUGGAUAUAGCGUAAAGCGGGAAAUAGC